rnacentral:rRNA from 1 species
AACAACGCUGGCGGCAGGCCUAACACAUGCAAGUACGAGCGAGACCUUCGGGUCUAGCGCGGACGGGUUAGUAACGCGUGGGAACGUGCCCUUCUCUGCGGAAUAGCCACUGGAAACGGUGAGUAAUACCGCAUACGCCCUUCGGGGAAAGAUUUAUCGGAGAAGGAUCGGCCCGCGUUAGAUUAGAUAGUUGGUGGGUAACGGCCUACCAAGUCUACGAUCUAUAGCUGGUUUUAGAGGAUGAUCAGCAACACUGGGACUGAGACACGGCCCAGACUCCUACGGGAGGCAGCAGUGGGGAAUCUUAGACAAUGGGCGCAAGCCUGAUCUAGCCAUGCCGCGUGUGUGAUGAAGGUCUUAGGAUCGUAAAGCACUUUCGCCAGGGAUGAUAAUGACAGUACCUGGUAAAGAAACCCCGGCUAACUCCGUG